CUUUGAGAAUGUCCACAUUAACAUCUGUUCCCUAUUAUAUCAAGACCUUGCUAAAGGCAUCCAUUAUCUAUGAAUAGUAAUAACUCUAUUAAUGAAGAGGAUGCAUUCCAGCAGCACAAUCUUUUGUCAGAACUGUCAUUCCCGAGAUUCAUGAAACUUUAAAACUGGAAGAGAUCUUGGCAAUCUUCUAUCAGGAGUUAACAAGCUCAUAUGGUGUCAACCACAGAUACUCUCUAAGCCUAAUGUACAGGACAUCAGAUGAGUUGCUUUGUGGAGAGUUUUUUGGGGAAUGUGAAAAGCCCUACCAUAUGGAGAGGAGCUAACAGAUGUGUCUUGGUAGUGCAAGGGAUCUCCACUGCACAUAAAGGUGUCAGGAGUCCAUCAGGGGAUGUCAUCACUUGGACUCCUCUAUAGGGUUUUUCUUCUUCCUUUGUAUUUUGAAAAUACCCCAUUGGACAUGCUCCAUGACAAUGAUGAAGAGAAAGCUGACCUAUAACUGUGACACCCCAACAGUCUGUUUUGUAACUUCAAAUUGAAAGGAGUAGCAACGUGC
rnacentral:lncRNA from 1 species